rnacentral:rRNA from 1 species
AUGAACGCUAGCUACAGGCUUAACACAUGCAAGUCGAGGGGCAGCAUGGUCUUAGCUUGCUAAGGCCGAUGGCGACCGGCGCACGGGUGAGUAACACGUAUCCAACCUGCCGUCUACUCUUGGACAGCCUUCUGAAAGGAAGAUUAAUACAAGAUGGCAUCAUGAGUCCGCAUGUUCACAUGAUUAAAGGUAUUCCGGUAGACGAUGGGGAUGCGUUCCAUUAGAUAGUAGGCGGGGUAACGGCCCACCUAGUCUUCGAUGGGUAGGGGUUCUGAGAGGAAGGUCCCCCACAUUGGAACUGAGACACGGUCCAAACUCCUACGGGAGGCAGCAGUGAGGAAUAUUGGUCAAUGGGCGAGAGCCUGAACCAGCCAAGUAGCGUGAAGGAUGACUGCCCUAUGGGUUGUAAACUUCUUUUAUAAAGGAAUAAAGUCGGGUAUGGAUACCCGUUUGCAUGUACUUUAUGAAUAAGGAUCGGCUAACUCCGUGCCAGCAGCCGCGGUAAUACGGAGGAUCCGAGCGUUAUCCGGAUUUAUUGGGUUUAAAGGGAGCGUAGAUGGAUGUUUAAGUCAGUUGUGAAAGUUUGCGGCUCAACCGUAAAAUUGCAGUUGAUACUGGAUAUCUUGAGUGCAGUUGAGGCAGGCGGAAUUCGUGGUGUAGCGGUGAAAUGCUUAGAUAUCACGAAGAACUCCGAUUGCGAAGGCAGCCUGCUAAGCUGCAACUGACAUUGAGGCUCGAAAGUGUGGGUAUCAAACAGGAUUAGAUACCCUGGUAGUCCACACGGUAAACGAUGAAUACUCGCUGUUUGCGAUAUACUGCAAGCGGCCAAGCGAAAGCGUUAAGUAUUCCACCUGGGGAGUACGCCGGCAACGGUGAAACUCAAAGGAAUUGACGGGGGCCCGCACAAGCGGUGGAGCAUGUGGUUUAAUUCGAAGCAACGCGAAGAACCUUACCAAGUCUUGACAUCCCACUGACAGAGUAUGUAAUGUACUUUCUCUUCGGAGCAGUGGUGACAGGUGGUGCAUGGUUGUCGUCAGCUCGUGCCGUGAGGUGUCGGCUUAAGUGCCAUAACGAGCGCAACCCUUGUUGUCAGUUACUAACAGGUUCCGCUGAGGACUCUGACAAGACUGCCAUCGUAAGAUGUGAGGAAGGUGGGGAUGACGUCAAAUCAGCACGGCCCUUACGUCCGGGGCUACACACGUGUUACAAUGGGGGGUACAGAGGGCCGCUACCACGCGAGUGGAUGCCAAUCCCCAAAACCUCUCUCAGUUCGGACUGGAGUCUGCAACCCGACUCCACGAAGCUGGAUUCGCUAGUAAUCGCGCAUCAGCCACGGCGCGGUGAAUACGUUCCCGGGCCUUGUACACACCGCCCGUCAAGCCAUGGGAGCCGGGGGUACCUGAAGUGCGUAACCGCGAGGAGCGCCCUAGGGUAAAACUGGUGACUGGGGCU